rnacentral:rRNA from 1 species
CAGCCAUGCCGCGUGUGUGAAGAAGGCCUUCGGGUUGUAAAGUACUUUCAGCGAGGAGGAAGGGAUUGGGGUUAAUAACCCUGUGGAUUGACGUUACUCGCAGAAGAAGCACCGGCUAACUCCGUGCCAGCAGCCGCGGUAAUACGGAGGGUGCAAGCGUUAAUCGGAAUUACUGGGCGUAAAGCGCACGCAGGCGGUCUGUCAAGU